UAACCAUCAAGAGAGGUGGAGGGACUGGCCCUGUGAAACCCGGCAACAACUGAUUUAAUCAGAAAUGUGCCAAUUCCAGCAGAAAAACUCUGAGAGAUGGUAG
rnacentral:ncRNA from 2 species